rnacentral:rRNA from 1 species
UACGUAGGGUGCGAGCGUUGUUCGGAAUUACUGGGCGUAAAGGGCGCGUAGGCGGUCUUGUCAGUCCCUUGUGAAAUCCCCCGGCUCAACUGGGGAACUGCAGGGGAAACAGCAGGGCUUGAGUUCGGGAGAGGGAAGCGGAAUUCCGGGUGUAGCGGUGAAAUGCGUAGAUAUCUGGAGGAAUACCGGUGGCGAAGGCGGCAUCCUGGACCGAGAUUGACACUGAUGAGCGAAAGCCAGGGGAGCAAACGGG